rnacentral:rRNA from 1 species
CAGUCGCCGCGGUAAUACGAAGGUCCCGAGCGUUGUUCGGAAUCACUGGGCGUAAAGGGAGCGUAGGCGGCGUGGUAAGUCAGAUGUGAAAUCCCGGGGCUCAACCCCGGAACUGCAUCCGAUACUGCCGUGCUAGAGGAUUGGAGAGGUAGCUGGAAUUCUUGGUGUAGCAGUGAAAUGCGUGGAGAUCAAGAGGAACACUCGUGGCGAAAGCGAGCUACUGGACAAUAUCUGACGCUGAGGCUCGAAGGCCAGGGUAGCGAAAGGGAUUAGAUACCCCGGUAGUCCCUGUCUCUUAUAA